ACUAAUCCCAACAUAAUUUGAAAUUUGAUUUGAGUCCAGGAUUUUGUCACACACCUGUCAGCGACUACAUAAAUCUCUUCAGGAGACACCAUGGUGCAUGACAGGGCAGAUUGAUGAAUGUGUUUGGCCUCUAAACGUUGAUGCUUGUAUGUUUGCAGCGAGUCCCUCAGUUUGUUGGAGCCAGUCUGGACUUCCAGCAUUCCUCAAACUCAAAACUGCAUGAGGAUUCCUGCUCGGCCUCAGUGAAAUUGUCCACGCGUGCCUCCCGAAUCUGCAGCAGGAUGUUCUUGGCGCGGAUGAAGGAACUGCGGUCACUGAUGUUGUACACGACCACAAAGCCAUCUGCCCAGUCCACCGGCUCCUCAAGUAUGCACCUGGCCUCCGAGCUCUGCUGAUGACAACAUACGAGCUUUUAUCCAGCCUUUAUACUGUAGAUAGAUGGUAGAUAGACAGACCGACAGACAGUCUGACUCAUGGCAAUGAAAGAGCUUAAACAAGUUUAAACAGAAGGAAGAAAUAGUAAUGUUCUUGAGGAGGACUUAAUUGCCAAGGAAGGACAAAAGGUCCAAGGACGUGUCUGAGCCCUUAACCGUGGAUUCCUCAGCACUCACUGUAAAAUCCACUCAUCCUUUGUCUUUAUUGACUCCAUUUUUUUUUAUGCUGUCCAGGUCAAAGGGGCCGGACAGUGACUCUGUGCUUCUUAUGAGAGGGCGGCGUUUAACUGACAAAGACAAUGAUCGGCUUUUAUUCUUUCGAGCCCAGGGGUGUUCAAUAAAAAAAACCCUCUGCAGUAAGAUGUGUCUCAGCUCUUUUUAUGGGAGAUGUAAGCAGGUUAUAAGAGUGUGUGUGUGCGUGUGUAAAGCCAUGGUUCACUUAGGGUUAGUCAUGUCCAUGUACUGCAGCCUCCUUGGUACAGUGACGUGUUUUAUUGUCACAUGUGAUGGAUUCUUUCUCGGAAAAGCAGUUUUUUUCCUCCUGUCGCUGAUGAUUUGUCGCUGUUUUUCGCAACGGUAAUAGCAACACCUGUAAAUGAUGAUCAUCAUAUGUCACACAAAUUGCUGGAAUAUGACAUUUUUUCUUACAUCUGUGUGUACAGCUUGAGCAUAUUACGCUGAAAAGUUAUAAUACCCAUCUGUCUUGGAUUCUCAUUUGUUUAACCUCUUCCUUUUCUGGGUCAUCUGUGCAAUAAUUACAUUUCCCGACACAGCCUGGUGAUAUACAGGGCAUAGCCAAGGAGCUCGAAACAGAAAGGUUUGGAGUUAUUUUCUAAUAAAAAAGCAAAGAAAAUCUACACAUGACUUUUCAACUGUUUGCAUGAGUCAGCCUUAUUUAGAUGUGUUCAGGAUGUGCUGUACCUCAGAGCAAGGGUCAAAAACUUCCAGGUUCAGCUGCCGGCCAUCAAUCGACAGCCUUUUAUGAUACAGUGAAUCUGUGGGGGAGAUUGAAACAGAGGAAAACAAUCAUAUUACAAAGGAAAAUAAUAAAUGUCUCAUAAUCUGCACAAAUAA